rnacentral:tRNA from 1 species
GGCCUGGUGGUCUAGUAGUAUGAUUCCUUGUUAGGGUUACCCCAAUAUCGAGGAGGUCCCGGGUUCAAUUCCCGGCCAGGCCC